UCGGGAAUUUUGGGCAAUGGGGGAAACCCUGACCCAGCAACGCCGCGUGAAGGAUGAAGUAUUUCGGUAUGUAAACUUCGAAAGAAUAGGAAGAAUAAAUGACGGUACUAUUUAUAAGGUCCGGCUAACUACGUGCCAGCAGCCGCGGUAAUACGUAGGGACCAAGCGUUGUUCGGAUUUACUGGGCGUAAAGGGCGCGUAGGCGGCAUGACAAGUCACUUGUGAAAUCUCUGGGCUUAACCCAGAAUGGCCAAGUGAUACUGUCGCGCUAGAGUGCAGAAGGGGCAAUCGGAAUUCUUGGUGUAGCGGUGAAAUGCGUAGAUAUCAAGAGGAACACCUGAGGUGAAGACGGGUUGCUGGGCUGACACUGACGCUGAGGCGCGAAAGCCAGGGGAGCAAACGGGAUUAGAUACCCGUGUAGUCCCUGAGCGGGCUGGCAAGGCGCAU
rnacentral:rRNA from 1 species